rnacentral:rRNA from 1 species
CCUACGGGAGGCAGCAGUGGGGGAUAUUGCACAAUGGGGGGAACCCUGAUGCAGCGACGCCGCGUGGGUGAAGGAGUGCUUCGGCAUGUAAAGCCCUAUCGGCAGGGAAGAAGCAAGACGGUACCUGACUAAGAAGCCCCGGCUAACUACGUGCCAGCAGCUGCGGUAAUACGUAGGGGGCGAGCGUUAUCCGGAUUCACUGGGGGGAAAGGGAGCGUAGACGGCCAUGCAAGCCAGGGGUGAAAGCCCGGGGCCCAACCCCGGGACUGCCCUUGGAACUGCAUGGCUGGAGUGCGGGAGGGGCAGGCGGAAUGCCUAGUGUAGCGGUGAAAUGCGUAGAUAUUAGGAGGAACACCAGUGGCGAAGGCGGCCUACUGGACGGUGACUGACGCUGAGGCUCGAAAGCGUGGGGAGCAAACAGGAUUAGAUACCCCUGUAGUC